rnacentral:tRNA from 1 species
GGCUAGCUCAAUUUGGCAGAGCAGGGGACUCUUAAUCCCUUGGUUGUAGGUUCGAGUCCUACGCGGGUCA